ensembl:lncRNA MEG8 maternally expressed 8, small nucleolar RNA host gene
GUUCCAAUAGUUUCCCAAAUCAUGCUGAUGCUGCCUCCUGAGAAAUAUUUUCAGAAUCACUGAGAAAAAUGUAUGAAAUAGUUAAUGUCCUUGCUCUGUGUCAGUGGUGGAGGCUGUCUGCAGUAGGAGCAUGGAGACCAACAAUGGAUGCUCUUAAACUGAUUUAAGCACGCUUCCAUGGUCAGAAGCCUUAUGGUUGCCACAGGGUAUUAGGAGCAUGGAGACCAAUAAUGGAUGUCCUUGUUCUGAUUUGAGGAUGCCUCCAAGGUCACAUACUCUGUUUGCACCACGCUUAGGAAGGAGCGUGAAGACCAAGGGGAGUAAUAGUCAAAGUCCUUACCUUUGUUUGGGUGGUUUGUUUAAGAGUAAUCAACGUAUUAUUUAAAAGUGUGAAAUACAGUCAAAGAUGGCCAAUGUUAUUCCAGUGAUAUGGGAGUGACAUGAAGUAUUAUAUUGAUGAUGCAUAUAUAAAAAACAGGAUAGUUAAUGAAACACCCAAUGUUUGAGUGAUUCUGUAUACUGAUAGGGAAUAUCAAGAGUGUUACUGGGUUUUGUGAAUCACGGGCCUUGAAAGUAUUAUUAAUGAAUAAAUGACAUAAUCAAUAGACAAGGUAGAAAUGAAUAG